rnacentral:rRNA from 1 species
CCUACGGGAGGCUGCAGUGGGGAAUAUUGCACAAUGGAGGGAACUCUGAUGCAGCGACGCCGCGUGAGUGAAGAAGGUCUUCGGAUCGUAAAACUCUGUCCUUGGUGAAGAAAAAAAUGACGGUAGCCAAGGAGGAAGCCCCGGCUAACUACGUGCCAGCAGCCGCGGUAAUACGUAGGGGGCGAGCGUUGUCCGGAUUUACUGGGCGUAAAGGGUGAGUAGGCGGUUGUAUAUGUCAGGUGUAAAAGGCACAGGCUUAACUUGUGUUAGCACUUGAAACUGUACAACUUGAGUGCAGGAGAGGUAAGCGGAAUUCCUAGUGUAGCGGUGAAAUGCGUAGAUAUUAGGAGGAACACCAGUGGCGAAGGCGGCUUACUGGACUGUAACUGACGCUGAGUCACGAAAGCGUGGGUAGCAAACAGGAUUAGAUACCCGUGUAGUC